AAAGGGGUAAAAGUUUCCCAGGACAAAGCUAGCUUCAGACUUGGACUUGAAUAGAAAACCCAAGUAUGUUUGCAAAAAUCAUCCAUAAUAAAAAAAAAAAAUAUCUAUAGCCAUCCUUGGAAAUUUUACUGCCAAGCCUCCAAAUAUCACUGUGUAUGAGAUCAAAACAACUUUUAUAUUUAUGCUGACUCACUGGAAAUGGCAGUUUAUUAAAAACAGGGGCAGGAAAUGUAUAUAGCAAAAGUGGAAGUGAGACAAAGACAACACAAGAACAUGGGCAGAGUAUGAGGAACCGAGAGAGUUUAAUGGCAACCUGUGUUUGUAGUAAGGGAGAAGCAAAAGCAGACAUGGAUGCUUGUUUGUCAGUGAUGCUGAAAACGAGAAGGAGCCGGUUGAGAGGAGAGCCGCAUCAACCAGGCAAGAUGUGUUAGACCAAAUAGACUUUUAAAGCCAUUAGUUUGGAAAUAGAUGACCAGGAUAUGUUAUGCUUAAUUGUUUAGAAAGUAUAUUAGGUCAUAGUUUCUCGGUCCUAGCUUGAAGAGGAGACGAAUGAGUUUAAUGAGGUCAAGGUAAGAGUGGAUGAGAGGAGUGUUUUACUAAAGGAUAGGGCAUAGAAUGGUAAAGAGCCAAGAAAAGAGAGAAGACAUAAGAUAACCUAAAGGAGCUCAUUUGAAUUGAAUCUAGAUGAUUCUCAGGAGUCAUUUGCUUGGGUGUAAAGAAAGACUAUCGUAUCAAUGGGACCAGGGUACAAUGGAAGAUAGGGAAGAAGAUACUUAACUGGGUGACAAGGAAUUCUAGGCCUUUGUUGAUCAAUGAAAUGACCGGCAUGAAGAAGAAAUUGAUCAACAAUUAUCUACAUUCUUCUUAUUGUGGGAAAUCAAUGGUGUCUUUCAUUUGAAGUUUGUGUUUAUUGUUCAUUGACAUGAUA
rnacentral:lncRNA from 1 species